UGUCAUAUCGUCUCCGAUUGUGUUUAACAUGUUAUCAAGGCAAAUACAACACUGUAGGUUAGAAAAUGAAGCAUUCCAACUUUUGAGUUAGCCGAAAGCUAACAUUGCAGCGGUGGAACUUGUGUUUGAUAGGCAGCACGUUAUCAUAACCCAACCAGUAAACGCCACUCUGAUUGGCUGAGGCACCACGUCAUCAUAACCCAAGCAGUAAACGCCACUCUGAUUGGCCGAGGCAACAAGCAUUCGGCGCGUACUGCUGAAGCAAGUGGCUGCUCGGCUCUGUUCAGCUUCCAUCAAAUCAAAGCGAUCCAAAAUCAUCGUUUUCUACUCAGUUGAAGGUGGCGUGCGGUGUCUCCUUCAUUUUGGACGUGGAGUGAGGUGUCCUGCCCUUUAGGAGCACCUAAACAAGAUGGCUUUAAGGAUGAGAGAAUGGCGAAAACGCCAAAGAGAACUCAAUCAACUUCUAUGUUAUUCUGACAGCGAUGAUGAACAUUGUGGCAUUAAAAAAAAGUGUGAACGUGCGCCUGGGACUCUGAAUAGUUGUAGCAGUGACAAUGUGCCUGGGACCCCACAUAGUUUCAUCAGUGACAAUGUUCCUGGGAAAUCAGAUAGUUUUGACUUUGACACUGAUGUGGACUAUUGGUCUACUGACUCAGAAAAGGAACCAAAUGAUGAAGCUGAGGUGACCAGCAGCUUUGAAGAUGACCUAAGACAGUGGGCCUUAGACCACAAAUUGACACACAGAGCGCUUAAUGGAUUAUUGUCCAUAUUAAGAAAGCAAGGGCACCUAUUGCCUGUGGAUUGCCGGACAUUCCUUGCUACACCACAGUGUAACACAA